GGAGGGGUAGCGAAGUGGCUAAACGCGGCGGACUGUAAAUCCGCUCCCUCUGGGUUCGGCAGUUCGAAUCUGCCCCCUCCACCA
rnacentral:tRNA from 1 species